rnacentral:rRNA from 1 species
GGAGGGUCCAAGCGUUGUCCGGAUUCAUUGGGUGUAAAGGGUGCGUAGGCGGGUCUGUAAGUCAGAGGUGAAAUCCCGCGGCUCAACCGGGAAACUGCCGUUGAUACUGCCAUUCUUGAGUACAGUUGAAGUGGGCGGAAUGUGUCAUGUAGCGGUGAAAUGCUUAGAUAUGACACAGAACACCGAUAGCGAAGGCAGCUCACUAAGCUGUAACUGACGCUCAUGCACGAAAGCGUGGGGAUCAAACAGGAUUAGAUACCCUGGUAGUCCACGCUGUAAACGAUGAUCACUCGUUGUUGGCGAUAUACUGUCAGCGACUGAGCGAAAGCAUUAAGUGAUCCACCUGGGGAGUACGGCGGCAACGUUG